GCUCCUCUGGGCGGCUGGAGGGGAUUGGCAAGCGGCAGCUUCUCCCUCCCACACGGCCAGCUCGCUCUCCCCUCCUCCAGCCGCGGCAGGUCACCUCGCUGUGAGCGCGGCUUGGCGGGGCUGCUUUGCGCAGUGACAGGCAGGGAGACGGCGGCGGCGGCAGCGCGCGGCUCCUCUUCUCCCCGCGGGCGGACGGGCGCCAGGGGCACUAACUCCGGGGCCGCUGCCGAGCUGGGGGCCGCCGCCGGCGGGCUGCGCUGACAUUAGGAGGAGACGCGCCCGGAGGGAGGCGGACGCUGCAACUUCUCGCUGCGGCUGCGGGCAGAGGGUGGGUGGCCGGGUCUCGCUGCCCAGCAGCGCCGCAGCUCCUGGCUUCCUCUUGCUGUCUCGGCCAGAGGCUCCGGACUAUAAAUAGCAGGUUACCCAGCUGCAGAGUGACAGGCGCCCCGGGAGGGAAGCGCGGCUCCAGUCUCUCUGCGCGGUAGGCGCCCUGCUGCGAGCCAGAACCAAGAGAGCGAUGCUGUUGGCUGAAAGGAAAUCUGCUUUUUCUAAUGAAAAAUAAGACCAAGGAUUCUGAAAUUGCUGUGCACAGAGACACCUUCCAUAACAUUCAUUGGACUGUUAAAAUGGAAGAAUGCCACAGCUGAAAGGACUUACAAGUAUAUUGUUUUGAAACCUGCAAAAUUUCACCUUCAAAAAUGUAUCUGAUGUCACAGGGGAUUGUCUGUUUUAGGAUAAAGGGAAGUUCUAAGAGCUACCAGGUGGUGCUAGAGGGGAAAAAUUGCCAAACCAGUCAUCAGGUGUUUCAGUAUCCUCUCUCUGAUAGUUUUUCUCCAACCUUCAAAAUAUCAACGAGGAGGCUGAAAUUGACCCAUGUCAACCUUAACCCACCACAGGUCAAAUUUUCAGCAGAGCUCCUUAUAUGCUUGUGAAUACGUUGGAUAAUUAUGUGUGAAGAUGUGGGGUUUUCAGGUACAAAAUGAAUGUAACCAUAAAAAGAAGCCAGCACUAGCAAUUACAGAUUAACUGGGGAUGCGAUAAAAUAUUAUCGCUUCUUAAAGAAAAAAUAUUUUAAGUAAUACAUCUAGUGUUAGGAAUUAACUUUCCACGUGAUUUGGCUCUCUUCAUUCACAGGAGCAUUUCCAUCCUAUAAAGGACCUGGGCUAUAGUGAAGAAAUGUAGACAGCUUCUGAUGCCUUUCCUGAAAGCCAGGGAACCACUGUUUGGGGGGUGGAAAGGACGGGAAAUCCCCAAAACCUGAAAAUGUUCUUAUAGUAAUCAAAUAAUAGAUUGGACUACAGCAAUGAAUGAAUUGGUUAUCCCAGGGCCGGUUCCUUUCUAUUUAAUAAGCUAGAAUUUGGUACAAUGGAAGAACUUCUACACUGAGCUAAACCCCAUCAUUAUGCUGAUAUUCCCUUCCCCUUCUCCCACCACUGAAGACAGUUGAAUUGUACAACACGGCACUUCUAUGACCAUUAUGUUCAUUUUGUGGAUGUGUAUGAUUAAUAAUUCCAUACAUAGUCAAAUCACACAGUAGCCUUAAAUUCUUUGAUAAACUCCAGUGAAGUGACUGAUAUAUGCAGUAAUCUAUUCAUAUUUUCCACUGUGUAUAUGUAUUAUGUAUGUUUUUCCUAUUCUCAAGGUAUGAAAGAGAAAAUAAAUCCAUUAGAGUGCACUACUUUAAGAGAACUUGUUCAAGGACAACCUGCAUCUCAAAUUUGGUUAUCUGAUUAGAAUAUACAGUUGUCCUGAUUUUGUUUGAGCCAAAAUGAGUUAUUGUUUUAAUUUGUGUUGUAUGUCUUACUUUCAAAGACAAACUGUUGACCUGAUCUGACUUGCACUAAACAAUUCAAGGUGCAUCGAUUGACCAUUGCAUCAGACCAGAGGUUGUAAAUGAAAAAUGGCCUUCUGCUUCAGUUUGCUGAUAAACAUUAUGUAACUUUAGCGCCCUCGUGACCAAGAUGGAGUCUGCUCUGCAGGUAGCAGGAAUGCAGCAGGAAAAAUCCCUUCCACCCCAGGGGCACCUGUUCCACACCCCACAGAGUGAAUACAUACACCCACAGAAAAAGUGCAAUGGAUAUAAGAAAGGGAAAUAUUUAUUUACAGAGGAAUGAGCGGAGAAAAAGAACAAGGAGAAAUAUAGGGGAAGCAGUAGAACAGGGUUGCAUUCAAACCAAGGUCCCACAAGCCCAGUGGUAGAACAGUCUGGAAGGGCAGACACUGAGCAAUGUGUCUGCACACAGAGUUCAGGAGUCCUGAGCAAAGUUACAGUCUAGUGGUGAGUCUUGGGGGUUCCUGGUCCUCUUCAGCCCCAGUGAACUUUCCCCAACAAACCCCUCCGGUGCCCUCUUCUGCCACAAGGGUGACCAGACGUCCCAAUAUUUUGGUGUCUGUCCCGCCAGUCGGGACGAAAUUUGUCCUGAUAUCCGCCAGCAGCACUGGGUUGGGGUUUUUUUUUUUUUUUUUUUUGCUCAGCCAGCAGGACUUUUUUGCUCCCCCCCCGAUAUUUUCUUCCCCUCAUCUGGUCACCCUAUCUGCCGCUAUCUGCAAAGCCACACAGAGCGACCACCUCCCCACUUAACUAGCUAGCAACCUCCCUUCUUAUUCCCAGUGCAGAGUCAGAAGCCCCAGUACUCUCAGCCCCAUGCAGGUCUGGGCAGCAGUGAUACUGGGUCCAGCUCCGGCCUGUCCUUCUUGAGCGAUUCCUCCCUGGCACAGUGCUCCUGUCUUGGGGUGUCCCCGAUUGGCUGCCCUGUCCUUCCCAGGCUUCAGGCAGGUUCUCUGCUGCUUCACUUUGUGAGGUCCUGCGGGCUGCAGCCCUUCUUUCCCCCAGAGCUCCAGCGACACAUACCCAAGUUUCCCUCCUUUUUCUCACUGUUCCCCUUCCCCCCCUAGGAAAAAGAUAUAAAGGGACCAUGCUCUCUAAACCCCAAAAGGGGUUACACAUUACCAAACAGCAUAUUUCCCAGUAAUGGACUUUGGAGAGGACAUUUACAAAUUUACUCCUGUGCACUUUUGCAACUUGAGUACAACUGUCUGAGCGGAUCCAGAGCUGGAAUUCAGCCCCAUGCCAAACCAAGGGGAAGAUCACUUUAUUUUUUCCUGACUUUCAGGAAUAGUGAUAAGGAAGCUGAGUCUGGAAGGCAGUCUUCAUUUCAUUUUCACCUUGAGGUAAGACAGCUGGUCAGACAUUGCACACAAAAUUAUUAAGUACAAGUAUCUUGAUCUUAAGCAACUUGAUCUGGACAAGUAAAAUUUAUGCUGACCUGGUAAAAAGCCAGGUGUCCCAGCUCCUAUGAGAGAGGAAGGAUGGUUCAGUUAGUUGGGGCACUAGCCUACACCUUUGAAGAUGCUGAUUCAAUUUGUUGCUCUGCCACAGACUUGUGUGACCUUGAGCAAGUCACUUGACCUUUCUGUGCUUCAGUUCCCAUCUGUAACAUGGGGAUAAAAGCACGCCCUACCUCUCAGUGGUGGUGUGAGGAUAAAUACAUUAAAGAUUGUGAAGCACUCAGAUUCUACAGUGAUGGGGCCGUAUAAGUACUUUGGAUAGGUAGAAGUAAACACAUCAGAAGUAUCUUGGUAGAUCUUUGAAUUUUAAGAACGCUUACAACACACAAUAUCUGUCUUGGUGUUCAUGAAAACGGUUUUAGGAUGGCUCAAGCAAGGUUGUGAGAAACUGGAUUUUUUUCCCCUUGGGAGUGUGGAGAGACACUCAGCCCAACUGAGUUCAGUCCACUAUUUUAUUUUGUGUUUGUGGUUUUUUUGUUCCUGGAUUUUUUUCUUCAUUCUCUGAAAUUAUCACUCAAGUAUUUGCAUGAACAGAACAUCUAUUUGAAAAGGAGGGUCCUCAGUGAGCCCCCUGCCUGCUUCUUCCUAGAAUAGACAGCAUAUCAAGAAUGGUGAGGGAGCAUGGCUAGAACAUGCUACGCUUUAGAGAAGACUCCAUCAACUAGAUGGAGAUAUAGCUGAUCUGUAAAGGGGUAGAGGGCGAUUUAGGACUGGCAAGCAGUUCCCUUGUGCCCUGCAGAGCCAAGCAUGGCUGAGAAUCUGGACCAAAUAAAUGAUUGUGGUUCAUUUAAUAUAACUUUUGUGUCUGUGUGUUCAGGUUUUUUCACUGUUUUUUAUUCAACAAAAAACAGAGGGUUUUUGCUGGAUGGGGAAAAUCACAAAAUCCUUGUUCCAAGUAAUUGUUCCUGACCUGGGGGAAAGAGAUGUUUUUCUCUAGACUGCUUUGUUAAAAUAGAGAAUUGUGAAUUUCACAGGUUUUGUUCCAGAAAUAAUCAAUUUCUUGCAGAGAGCCUGUAUGGAUAUUUCAGUUUGAAAGAAAAGGACUCUUUUGUGCACAAUGCUUUUUUUCCUCCCUUUUAUCUGGAGAGCCUGGUCUAGGGUUACCAUAUU